UGGCAGUCAGAGGCGAUGAAGGACGUGCUAAUCUGCGAUAAGCGCCGGUAAGGUGAUAUGAACCGUUAUAACCGGCGAUUUCCGAAUGGGGAAACCCAGUGUGACUCGUCACACUAUCAUUAACUGAAUCCAUAGGUUAAUGAGGCGAACCGGGGGAACUGAAACAUCUAAGUACCCCGAGGAAAAGAAAUCAACCGAGAUUCCCCCAGUAGCGGCGAGCGAACGGGGAGGAGCCCAGAGCCUGAAUCAGCAUGUGUGUUAGUGGAAGCGUCUGGAAAGGCGCGCGAUACAGGGUGACAGCCCCGUACACAAAACGCAUGUGCUGUGAGCUCGAUGAGUAGGGCGGGACACGUGGUAUCCUGUCUGAAUAUGGGGGGACCAUCCUCCAAGGCUAAAUACUCCUGACUGACCGAUAGUGAACCAGUACCGUGAGGGAAAGGCGAAAAGAACCCCGGCGAGGGGAGUGAAAAAGAACCUGAAACCGUGUACGUACAAGCAGUGGGAGCCCCACCACCAAAGCAUUCUCUGGUGUUGAAGGCCCUGCAAAGCAGCAUCGCGGUGGCGGAGCGUCGUUUGCGACGCCCAACACACAAAACAAGCGGUGAGUGCUUUGGGGUGGGGUGACUGCGUACCUUUUGUAUAAUGGGUCAGCGACUUAUAUUCUGUAGCAAGGUUAACCGCAUAGGGGAGCCGUAGGGAAACCGAGUCUUAAC
rnacentral:rRNA from 1 species